rnacentral:rRNA from 1 species
GACGAACGCUGGCGGCGUGCUUAACACAUGCAAGUCGAGCGGUAAGGCCUCUUCGGGGGUACACGAGCGGCGAACGGGUGAGUAACACGUGGGUGACCUGCCCUCAGCUCUGGGAUAAGCCUGGGAAACUGGGUCUAAUACCGGAUAUGACCUUUCCUCGCAUGGGGUUUGGUGGAAAGUUUUUUCGGCUGGGGAUGGGCCCGCGGCCUAUCAGCUUGUUGGUGGGGUGAUGGCCUACCAAGGCGACGACGGGUAGCCGGCCUGAGAGGGCGACCGGCCACACUGGGACUGAGACACGGCCCAGACUCCUACGGGAGGCAGCAGUGGGGAAUAUUGCGCAAUGGGCGGAAGCCUGACGCAGCGACGCCGCGUGGGGGAUGACGGCCUUCGGGUUGUAAACCUCUUUCGACCCCGACGAAUUUGGUCGGUAGGGGUAGAAGAAGCACCGGCCAACUACGUG